rnacentral:rRNA from 1 species
CCUACGGGUGGCAGCAGUGGGGGAUAUUGCGCAAUGGGCGAAAGCCUGACCCAGCAACGCCGCGUGGAGGAAGAAGGCUUUCGGGUUGUAAACUUCUAUUAGGAGGGAAGAGCGAAAGACGUUACCUCUUGAAUAACCCACGGCUAACUACGUGCCAGCAGCCGCGGUAAUACGUAGGUGGCAAGCGUUGUCCGGAUUUACUGGGUGUAAAGGGCGUGUAGCCGGGCUGACAAGUCAGAUGUGAAAUUCCGGGGCUCAACCCCGGACCUGCAUUUGAAACUGUUGGGCUUGAGUAUCGGAGGGGCAGGCGGAAUUCCUAGUGUAGCGGUGAAAUGCGUAGAUAUUGGGAGGAACACCAGUGGCGAAGGCGGCCUGCUGGACGACAACUGACGGUGAGGCGCGAAAGCGUGGGGAGCAAACAGGAUUAGAUACCCGUGUAGUC